GACGAACGCUGGCGGCGUGCUUAACACAUGCAAGUCGAACGGAAAGGCCCUGCUUGCAGGGUACUCGAGUGGCGAACGGGUGAGUAACACGUGGGUGAUCUGCCCUCCACUUCGGGGUAAGCCUUGGAAACUGGGUCUAAUACCGGAUAGGGGCCAUUUUUAGUGUGAUGGUUGGAAAGUUUUUUCGGUGUAGGAUGAGCUCGCGGCCUAUCAGCUUGUUGGUGGGGUAAUGGCCUACCAAGGCGGCGACGGGUAGCCGGCCUGAGAGGGUGGACGGCCACAUUGGGACUGAGGGACGGCCCAGACGCCGACGGGAGGAAGCAGGGGGGAAGCUUGAACAAUGGGCGCAAGGCUGGUGCAGCGACGCCGCGGGGGGGAAGACGGGCUUCGGGGUGGAAAAUCGUUUCGGUAGGGACGAAGCCUUUUGUGACGGUACCUAGAGAAGAAGCACCGGCUAACUACGUG
rnacentral:rRNA from 1 species